rnacentral:rRNA from 1 species
AGCAGCCGCGGUAAUUCCAGCUCCAAUAGCGUAUAUUAAAGUUGUUGCAGUUAAAAAGCUCGUAGUUGAAUUUCGGGAUCAAAUUGUUGGUCGUGCCUUGGUACGCACUGGCAUUAUUGGUUCCUACCUUCUGAAGAACCGCCAUUGUCAUUAAUUUGGUGUCGUGGGGAAUCAGGACUGUUACUUUGAAAAAUUAGAGUGUUUAAAGCAGGCGCACGCUUGAAUACAUUAGCAUGGAAUAAUGAAAUAGGACGUUUGAUUCUAUUUUGUUGGUUUCUAGGAUCGACGUAAUGAUUAAUAGGGAUAGUUGGGGGCUAUUAGUAUUCAAUUGUCAGAGGUGAAA